UACAGAGGUCCCAAGCGUUGUUCGGAUUCACUGGGCGUAAAGGGUGCGCAGGUGGUUUUGCAAGUCCGAUGUGAAAGCCCCGGGCUUAACCCGGGAAUGGCAUUGGAUACUGCACAUCUGGAGGAUCGGAGGGGGGACUGGAAUUCUUGGUGUAGCAGUGAAAUGCGUAGAUAUCAAGAGGAACACCAGUGGCGAAGGCGAGUCCCUGGACGAUAACUGACACUGAGGCACGAAAGCUAGGGGAGCAAACAGG
rnacentral:rRNA from 1 species